ensembl:lncRNA
CGCACGGCACGGUCCGGCGCGGCACGGAGGGAGGUUAUCGGGCGCGGGGGGAGGACUGAGGCUGGCAAGGUGAGAGCUCGGAUUGCCGGAGUGCCGGGAGGAAGCUGCCAUUUGUGAGCUGUGAGUGACGAGCGUGUAAUUUCAGCACCACUAAUGGACACUUAUUUUUCAUCAACUGGAGGAAAGAUGGGAAGGCGGAAGGAAACAAAUGAUCAUUACAGGUUAACCAACACAGAAGACAGAAGGAGUAUCAGCAGGGAUGACAUGGAACUAAUGCCACACAGAGAAGCAACCAGUGUGCCCAAAACAUCUUGGCAAAACUGAUGUAUUCCCAGGCUGUGGGGAGAUUACAGUACAAGUUCCUAUGAGAAUAUAUUGCAGACUGUGUGCUAGGAAAGCACCUCCAUUGGGGAAAAUUUGCCUGUGGAACGAGAAAUACAUAAGCAGAAACUGGGAACUGAAGAAAUGUUGUUAAGAUUGCCAGUCAGAAACAAUGUUCAACAUGGAGAGAGCAGGAAGAAGCUUGAUACAGAAAAAGAGAGAGAUCCUGAUGGUCCUUCACGAUCCCUUCUCAGACCUGGAAGAUGUAGAUGUGACUGCAAGUAUCACUGUGUUGAAGCCCUCACCAGACCCUGUCAUGGCCGACUCCUGUGAGACCACUCUGUUCAUGCUGCGGUGCAAAAGGCUUUUUGUGACCUCAGUCUUCAACAGUGGGAAGAUAUAUCAUGGAUUUUGGAAAGGAGCAUCAUUACAGACUGUUAUCUCAGCAUCUACCUCCCACAGCUCGCUAGCAUUUUCUCUACAAGUCUAUUACUUU